rnacentral:tRNA from 2 species
GGUCGUGUGGCGCAAUGGUAACGCGCUCGUUCUUGUAACGGGAAAACCUGGGUUCGAUUCCCGGUACGACCU